rnacentral:rRNA from 1 species
CUACGGGGUGCAGCGGUGGGGAAUAUUGCACAAUGGGCGCAAGCCUGAUGCAGCCAUGCCGCGUGUAUGAAGAAGGCCUUCGGGUUGUAAAGUACUUUCAGCGGGGAGGAAGGGAGUAAAGUUAAUACCUUUGCUCAUUGACGUUACCCGCAGAAGAAGCACCGGCUAACUCCGUGCCAGCAGCCGCGGUAAUACGGAGGGUGCAAGCGUUAAUCGGAAUUACUGGGCGUAAAGCGCACGCAGGCGGUUUGUUAAGUCAGAUGUGAAACCCCCGGGCUCAACCUGGGAACGGCAUCUGAUACUGGCAAGCUUGAGUCUCGUAGAGGGGGGUAGAAUUCCAGGUGUAGCGGUGAAAUGCGUAGAGAUCUGGAGGAAUACCGGUGGCGAAGGCGGCCCCCUGGACGAAGACUGACGCUCAGGUGCGAAAGCGUGGGGAGCAAACAGGAUUAGAUACCCCGGUAGUC